UACGUAGGGUGCAAGCGUUGUCCGGAAUUAUUGGGCGUAAAGAGCUUGUAGGCGGUUUGUCGCGUCUGCUGUGAAAUUUCGGGGCUCAACCCCGAACUUGCAGUGGGUACGGGCAGACUAGAGUGUGGUAGGGGAGACUGGAAUUCCUGGUGUAGCGGUGAAAUGCGCAGAUAUCAGGAGGAACACCGAUGGCGAAGGCGGCUCACUGGAUCGAAACUGACGCUGAGGUGCGAAAGCUAGGGUAGCAAACGGG
rnacentral:rRNA from 1 species